rnacentral:pre_miRNA from 1 species
AUAGUACUCCCUCUGUCCGAAAAUACUUGUCGGAAAGAUGGAUGUAUCUAGACAUAUAUUAGUUGUAGAUACAUCCAAUUUUAUCUAUUUGUGUGACAAGUAUUUCCGGACGGAGGGAGUACUCU